rnacentral:rRNA from 1 species
CUACGGGUGGCUCCAGUAGGGAAUAUUGCCCAAUGGACGAAAGUCUGAGGCAGCAACGCCGCGUGUGCGAUGAAGGUCUUCGGACUGCAAAGCACUUUUCUGAGGGAAGAGGAGGGACUGUACCUCAGGAAUAAGUCUCGGCUAACUACGUGCCAGCAGCCGCGGUAACACGUAGGAGGCAAGCGUUAUCCGGAUUUACUGGGCGUAAAGCGCGUGCAGGCGGUUUAGUAAGUUGGAUGUGAAAGCUCCCGGCUCAACUGGGAGAGGUCGUUCAAAACUGCUAAACUCGAGGACGGUAGAGGGAGAUGGAAUUCCCGGUGUAGUGGUGAAAUGCGUAGAUAUCGGGAGGAACACCAGUGGCGAAAGCGGUCUCCUAGCCCGCUCCUGACGCUAAGACGCGAAAGCAUGGGUAGCGAACGGGAUUAGAUACCCGCGUAGUC